GUGGGUGUAACUCAGUUGGUUAGAGUGCCUCCCUGUGAAGGAGGAUGUCGGCGGUUCGAGCCCGCUCACCCACCCCC
rnacentral:tRNA from 2 species